AGAGUUUGAUCCUGGCUCAGGAUGAACGCUAGCGGCAGGCUUAACACAUGCAAGUCGAGGGGUAACAUUGUGCUUGCACAGAUGACGACCGGCGCACGGGUGCGUAACGCGUAUAGAACCUACCUUUUACAGAGGAAUAGCCUUUAGAAAUGAAGAUUAAUGCCUCAUAGUAUUGUAGACUGGCAUCAGUUUAUAAUUAAAGAUUUAUCGGUAAAAGAUGGCUAUGCGUCCUAUUAGUUAGUUGGUAAGGUAACGGCUUACCAAGACAGCGAUAGGUAGGGGUCCUGAGAGGGAGAUCCCCCACACUGGUACUGAGACACGGACCAGACUCCUACGGGAGGCAGCAGUGAGGAAUAUUGGACAAUGGAGGAGACUCUGAUCCAGCCAUGCCGCGUGUAGGAAGAAUGCCCUAUGGGUUGUAAACUACUUUUAUACAGGAAGAAACACUGGUAUGUAUACCAGCUUGACGGUACUGUAAGAAUAAGGACCGGCUAACUCCGUGCCAGCAGCCGCGGUAAUACGGAGGGUCCGAGCGUUAUCCGGAAUCAUUGGGUUUAAAGGGUCCGCAGGCGGUCGAUUAAGUCAGAGGUGAAAUCCCAUAGCUCAACUAUGGAACUGCCUUUGAUACUGGUUGACUUGAGUCAUAUGGAAGUAGAUAGAAUGUGUAGUGUAGCGGUGAAAUUCGUAGAUAUUUGGAGGAACACCAGUGGCGAAGGCGGCUUACUGGCUCGAAACUGACGCUGAGGUGCGAAAGUGUGGGGAGCAAACAGGAUUAGAUAC
rnacentral:rRNA from 1 species